rnacentral:rRNA from 1 species
ACACGCGUAUCCGAAGGACUCUCGGCAACGGAUAUCUCGGCUCUUGCAUCGAUGAAGAACGUAGCGAAAUGCGAUACUUGGUGUGAAUUGCAGAAUCCCGUGAACCAUCGAGUCUUUGAACGCAAGUUGCGCCUGAAGCCAUUAGGCUGA